rnacentral:rRNA from 1 species
UAAACUUCGGGAAACCGGAGCUAAUACCGGAUUAAUAUUUCGAACCGCAUGGUUCGAUAGUGAAAGGUGGUUUUGCUAUCACUUAUAGAUGGACCCGCGCCGUAUUAGCUAGUUGGUAAGGUAACGGCUUACCAAGGCGACGAUACGUAGCCGACCUGAGAGGGUGAUCGGCCACACUGGAACUGAGACACGGUCCAGACUCCUACGGGAGGCAGCAGGG